rnacentral:rRNA from 1 species
CAGCCGCCGCGGUAAUACGUAGGUGGCAAGCGUUGUCCGGAAUUAUUGGGCGUAAAGGGGUCGCAGGCGGUUUCUUAAGUCUGAUGUGAAAGCCCCCGGCUCAACCGGGGAGGGUCAUUGGAAACUGGGAAACUUGAGUGCAGAAGAGGAGAGUGGAAUUCCACGUGUAGCGGUGAAAUGCGUAGAGAUGUGGAGGAACACCAGUGGCGAAGGCGACUCUCUGGUCUGUAACUGACGCUGAGGAGCGAAAGCGUGGGGAGCGAACAGGAUUAGAUACCCCUGUAGUCCCUGUCUCUUAUAC